rnacentral:rRNA from 1 species
AUUGAACGCUGGCGGCAGGCUUAACACAUGCAAGUCGAGCGGGGUGAUGGUGCUUGCACUAUCACUUAGCGGCGGACGGGUGAGUAAUGCUUAGGAAUCUGCCUAUUAGUGGGGGACAACAUCUCGAAAGGGAUGCUAAUACCGCAUACGUCCUACGGGAGAAAGCAGGGGAUCACUUGUGACCUUGCGCUAAUAGAUGAGCCUAAGUCGGAUUAGCUAGUUGGUGGGGUAAAGGCCUACCAAGGCGACGAUCUGUAGCGGGUCUGAGAGGAUGAUCCGCCACACUGGGACUGAGACACGGCCCAGACUCCUACGGGAGGCAGCAGUGGGGAAUAUUGGACAAUGGGGGGAACCCUAAUCCAGCCAUGCCGCGUGUGUGAAGAAGGCCUUAUGGUUGUAAGGCACUUUAAGCGAGGAGGAGGCUCUUUUGGUUAAUACCCAAGAUGAGUGGACGUUACUCGCAGAAUAAGCACCGGCUAACUCUGUGCCAGCAGCCGCCGUAA